rnacentral:rRNA from 1 species
UACGUAGGGUGCGAGCGUUGUCCGGAAUCAUUGGGCGUAAAGAGCGUGUAGGCCGGCUCGCUAAGUCUUGCGUGAAAUCUCGGGGCUCAACCCCGAGCGGUCGUGAGAAACUGGCGGGCUAGAGUGCGGGAGAGGAGAGUGGAAUUCCUGGUGUAGCGGUGAAAUGCGCAGAUAUCAGGAAGAACACCCGUGGCGAAGGCGGCUCUCGUGGGACGGUACUGACGCUGAGACGCGAAAGCGUGGGGAGCGAACAGG